GUAUUCUUGAUGUUACUUUUAGAGGCUAAAUUAAAUUGAAAUAUGCAUUUAAAUGUUUAUUGACAUGUUUUUAUUUAACAUAAAAAUGUUUGUUUUGAAAUACUGUUAUACAUUGUAAAAGUUUCAAUGGAGACUGAAAUUGUUUCCUCUAAUUAUGUUUGUCAGUUGUGUAAAGAAUCAUAUGAUCAACCUAAAACAUUAUAUAAACAUUUGCAGAAAAUGCACAAUCCUGCACGCUCGAUGAAAGAUAAUCACACUUGCCCACUAUGCGGAGUUUUGUGCACCAAGUACGAGUCUUACCGAGAUCACCUUAUGUACAUUCACGGCCAAAGUGGGGAUAGUACGAAACUGACGUUUAAAUACCUUAAUGAUUUUUUGAUAUGGAAGUCUGAAGAGGAGAGGAUUAAGGAUUGUAAUUUUGCUUUGCAGAGUGUUCCUAAAAUUUUAUCAUCUGGUAAUAGAUUGUAUUAUUACCAAUGCGAUUUUUUAGAAACACGUCUAAAAAAAGAAAAGAUGAGAAAUACAGUGGUUAAGAAAAUUGAAUCAUGCCCUGCUAUGAUAUCAGUUAUCGAAUCUGAUAAAAAACCUCAAGUUCAAGUGGAAUACUGGGCAACCCAUGCUGGACAUAUAGUACCAGACUCACCAUUUGAGAAAGAUGAUGAAUUAACUGAUGCUAUCAGUUCUGUAAGAUCUGAUAAAAAUGCUGACAAUGAACCAUUUUCUGAAACAUUUGAUGCUUCAUGUGAUGAUACUAAUAUGGUUACAGAAACAGCAGGAAAUCAUGUUUUGACAGAAACGCUUGUAUUUAAUAAUAGAGCUACAAAUUCAUUCACAGUGACUCAACAAGUACCCAGCCUUGAUCAAAUAUCAAAUCAUAGUAAAAUUUUUAAUUCUAAAGCUAAAUCUAUUACUAAGAAAAGGACUUCUGAAAAAAGAGAUUUAUUGUCUUCAUCUCUUUACAGUUUAGCAUCUGUUGCAUGUGGCAAAGUGAGUAAAAAAAGUAAAAUCACUGAGAAAGAUAAAGUAAUUGAUAAAAAUUCAUCUGAAAAUUCAGAUAAAACUUCAAAUCCGACAGAACCAGAAAAGAAUAAUAUACAAUCAUCCAGCAGUGCUGAAGGUGAUGAAACAGUCUCUGCAGAAAUCACAUCAUCUAAAGUUGAUUUAGCUGUUGCAUCUAAAGAUUCUUCAAGUACUACUAAUUUGAAUGUUGGGCAUGGAAGACCUUUGUUUCUUUUAAACACUUUACCUAUGAAACAAAAUAUACUAAAUGCAAAUGCAGUUUCUUCUGGUCAAAAUGUUUUACUUUGUCCUGUGCCACAAAAUGUUUUGCCUUUAAGUAAUACUGGAAUAAUUUCAAAUCCUGUCUUGCACACUCAAUCAGGUGUAUUUGAUGUAAAUAACACAAAAGAGACACAUUCAUGUGCAUUGAAAAUAUCAUCUGUAGGCUCAGUUUGUAAAUCUACAGAGAAAAAAGCAUCAUCAGUUGUAGCUGAAAAUAUACAUGGAAUUGAAGCAUCUGCUUCUAAGUUAUCUUCAGAUCCCAAACCUGGCUGUUCUGGAAAAAAAAUAUCAUCAGUUGUUACUGAAAAAAUGCAGUCAGCUGGAAAAAAGACGGCAUUUCCGAGGAAAAAGAAAGUAAAGCUUUCUGAAGACACAAGAAAGCAAGACUUGCUUGGAGGUAAUAAGACUAAGGAGGCAAAUGUAGUAAAUUCACAAGUUUCUGCACCUAGUACUUCUAAUGAUUCUAAUGCUCAGAUAGUACUUGGUAAUAUACCCCCUGGUAUGACAUUUAUGAGAAUUAAUAAUAGUUUAAUUCCUGUGAGGAAUGCAUCUGGAACAUACCUGACAAAUUUACACCCCACUUUAACUGCAUUACCAACCAUUCCUAAUGCAGCUGGUGCUUUGUAUGGCUAUCCGCCAGUUCUAAAUUUAGCACCUCUGAAUUCAGUGAGAAUUCCUGCACCAAUAUCCAAGUCCUCUCAAGUUUCUGCGAAAUCUCCCAAUGUUGGAAAAGAUGUUAAAAGUAUUUUAAGUUCACCAGCUACAGUUUCUGCUCCAGCCACUACAUUAUAUGGUUAUCCUCCAGUACUGAACAUAACACCUUCCACUCCUGUUAUUCAUACGACAGUGUCUAAUUCUCCAUCACUGUCACUGAAAUCUGCCACUACUACUACAACUACAAUGGCGUCGUCAUCUACAGUGUCUGAUAUUCGCACUGCUUUGUUUGGAUUACCUCCUGUGUUGAAUAUAGCAGCACCAAUUCCAGUAAAUAUUUCCUCUGCACUGCCUAAUUCGAAAGUUACUGCACAAUCUGAAACCAUUGCGAAAAGUGUCAUGAAUACAUUAACCUCCCCAAAUAAAGCAUCAGUUGUGCCAAAUGCAUUAUAUAGUUUUCCUCCAGUAUUGAAAUUAACACCUUCAUUUUCUGUUAGUACUUCAACAACAUUAUCCAGUUCUCAAAUGUAUGUACAGCCACCAGCUGCAGCUGAUUUUAAAACAUUACCAUCUACUGCUGUUACUAAAAGCAUAGUGUCAAAUUUUUCAUUGUCUCCCAUUCAGACUGAACAAAUAAAUCAGAAGAGAAAUGCAAUUAAUAAAUCUGGACAUAAUGAAAAACAUGCUAAUGGCUCUGAAAUAUUGAAUGGUACAGCUAAGAAAUCGGGAAAAGCAAUUGCAUUGCAGUUAGAGAUGUCUGAUGAUAUAUAUAUAUUGGAACCAAUUGAAAACAGUGUUGAAGAAAGCGAUAUGUCGUGCCAAAAAAGUGGACCUAAAUCUGGGUUAAAUCUUCAGAAGGGCAAUGAUCCUCAAACUGAUUUUAAAAAAUCUGCUGUGUCCGACAUUCAGAAGACACAAAAUGGCAUUUUACAAAAUGAUGAAUAUUCUGAAAUUGAAGCAAAAUAUAUUGCCUGUCAAGAGGAGUGCAAGCGACUGAAAUUUGAACUAAUCAAAGCUCGAUUAAAUAAUAAAGAAAUCGCAUUUCUUAUGGAAUCUAAUAAAAAUCUGGACAACAGGUCUGAUUCCGAAAUGUGUAUGGAGAUUUCUUAUGAUGAUGCCCAAAGUUCUGUAAAAGUCCAUGAAAAUUUGAAGAAAGAUGAUGCAGAUAUUUAUGCUAUGAUUCGCACAUCUGUAUUGCGAAGUUUAUAUGCUGAUAUGAAAGAAUUAUGCGAACAGAAUGAGCAGUUAAGUGAUGAAUUGGAGAACUACAGACAUGUGGCCAUACCCGCAGAGGCAUUUUGAAACACUCUUUACCAGAACAGUCCAGCAGAUAACGUCUAAAGUUAGCCAAGCGAUGCUUCAUAGCGCAGCUUUCGAUUUUGUAUCCAACGGGGAAAAAAAUUAAAAGUAAGAUAUCCUUUUUUUAUGUGUUCUGCAUUUUCAAUACCCCUUUAAUUGUUAUAAUUAAAUUUUUAGCUUGAACAUGCUUAUCUAUAAAUAGAUCGCUGGGCAUUAGUGGUAACUAAUACUGUUUUUUUUUUCCUUUUUCAUGUUUUACAAAAUGUCCAGGUGUCCAAGUGUUUCACACAACCAAAGAAGCAUUAGAAAAUGUUUUCUAAGGAGAUUGUAUCAGUGCUUUACCGCCUGAGGUGGCCAAUUUGACUGAUGAAGAGUACUUUGAUAAUGGUGAAAUGAUCACUCCAUCGGUAACAACAUAAAUGAUUUUGGACCAAACUAUUUCAGAGCAACUGCCAUCUACGUCUAGCACCAGUUAUAAAAAUGAAAAUAAAAAAUAGUUAGUUCGAAACUAUCAGACAAAUGCAGCCAAAAGCAAAUUGAACAAAAAAUAACCCUACUUAUGCUUUUAACAAAGAAGGUAAUUUUUCGGUUAAAAAUCUUGAGAGCAUUUCAAAUAUUUUAGAAAAUUUGAAUCCACAUGAAAGUUUUGAAGAAUUUUUAACUCCCGAAUUUUACGAAUAUGUAAUAAAUGAAACAGAAAGAUAUGCGAAAGUGUGAGAAAAUAAGCCAGAGUUUUCAGUUACAGUUGAUGAAUUGGAAGAGUUUUAUUGGUUUUUCGAUUUUCUCUGGCUACCAUACUUUACGUAAUGGAAGUGAUUGCUGGUCAGAGGAAGAUCUCAUAGUACCAAUAGUAAAUAAAUAUUUAGAAAUUAAUCUGUAAUCCAUUUUGCCAACAAUAAUUACGCAGCAAUACAAAAAUCAGACUGAGCAUUCAAAAUAAGAAAAAUAAUGAUGCAUAUAAAUCAGUUUUCAAAAAUUUGGAAUUUUCGAUAAAUUUCUGUCUGUUGAUGAAAUGAUUAGAUAUUAUGGUCAUUAUUUUUUCAAACGAUUUCUUAAAAGCAAAGCUAUACAGUUUUGCUAUAAAUCAUGGGCUAUGUGGAGUGUAAAGGGCUACUGUUGUAAUUUUGACUUAUGCUAUGGUGCGAAGAAUUUUGACAAUACUUCUGAAACUUAGAAUGAACCGCUUGGAACUUGAGUGGUGAAAAAAGUUUAAAAGACAUCCGAAGAUGUAUGUCAAACUGUGAAUAAAUUAGAAAAAAAGCAUUUGGUGAUGUCAUCGAGACCAAAGUGAUAGGCUCUGUACUUUUAGAUAGAAAAGAUCAUGUUAUACGUAAAAGACGAAACCAAAGAAGAUACCAAUUUAAAAAAUGCUCCAUGAUAGAUUUUAUAAAGCCUUAAGACAGAGAAUGGAAGAACAAUGUUGACAGAUCUUGUUACGCAUUUUGUAUAUUUUUGUACAAAUGAAAAUAUUGUUUUAUAUAUAUGUUUGAAAUUUUAAUAAUUUGAUAAAUAAAAUUGUAAAUAUUUUAAAUUUUUCUCUCUAUAUAAAUAAAAAUGCUACUAAUUGUUCAUGAUAUUAGAAUUUGUACAUUUGUGAAGAGUUUUUGCUGAUGAAGAAGUAAGAUAAUGAAGCAUAGCAAGUUUUAUUAAAUUCAUUAUUUUUAAAA